rnacentral:tRNA from 1 species
GAAAUAUGAUGUUCAAGAAGAAGCUGCUAACUUCCCUCUUUAGCGGUUAAAUUCCGUUUAUAUUUCU